UCAGUUUGAGAGAUCAUCCCGGACUUUGCCCCCUCUGCUGUAGCUGAGACGUCCCUGGGAGACAUAGUCUUAUUGUUCUAUGAUGUUUCUGACACUGAGACAGUCAGAGCCUUGUCCCAGUCUCUAGACCUGCCUGUCUGUGUGGUGGAUGACCUCCUGCCCUCUGAAGCUGUCAAUGAGAUGGAGCAGAGCAAUUCUGCCAGGAGCAGAGCAACCUCAGUGAUGGAAACCACAGAAGAGGGGAAGCUCAACAGUGUGGAAGAUCUGACACUUAUGGACUUCCUUCAAAACCUAACUGAGAAGCAAUGGAGGGGGAUUCGUGAGG